rnacentral:rRNA from 1 species
AUUGAACGCUGGCGGCAGGCCUAACACAUGCAAGUCGAACGAGUGGCGGACGGGUGAGUAAUGUCUGGGAAACUGCCUGAUGGAGGGGGAAAACUACUGGAAACGGUAGCUAAUAACGCAUACCAUCGGAUGUGCCAAGAUGGGAUUGGCUAGUAGGUGGGGUAAAGGCUAACCUAGGCGACGAUCCCUAGCUGGUCUGAGAGGAAGACCGGCCACACUGGAACUGGGACACGUGCCAGACUCCUACGGAAGGCAGCAGUGGGGAAUAUUGCACAAUGGGCGCAGGCCUGAUGCAGCCAUGCCGCGUGUCUGAAGAAGGCCUUCGGGUUGUAAAGUACGUUCAGCGGGGAGGCGUUACCCGAAGAAGAAGCACCGGCUAACUCCGUGCCAGCAGCCGCGGUAAUAC